AAAAUCAUUUGGGUAUCGACAUUACACCCAAGCCAUUAUUUUGACUUGACAUACAGUAAAAGCACUUUCUAAAAUUAUUUGCCUAUGGUUUUGAUUUACUCGUACAUGGGCUCAAGUGGAUGGAACCAGCAAUAGUGAGUGGGAAGAAUUACAUUGGAGUGAACGGAGGACCUGGUUAAAAGAAACAGCCUUCAAUGUGGCCCUUGUGACGAAGAGAUCAAGGCUCAUUACCUUCACAUUGCUUUCAUGAA